CACACGCACACCUUCGGCUCCGAGGGCGGGGGGAUCCAAGGGCUCGGCGCCCCGCUUCCCACCGGCACUACAGCCGCCUGCCUCAGAAUUAGAUCAUCUUACGCUGAUUAAGAGAGUUCAAGACCGGCACCGCUUGACAGCCAGGUCUGCACAAACAAGCCGAGGGCAUUUGGAAUAACCCGUCGGCUGCCGGGACCCGGGGCACAGCCCAAAGCACCCCCGGAGUCGCUCCUGGCGCUGACGGGGGGCUCGGCUCGGCGGAGGAGAUCCGGCUCCGGCCCCAAAGAGGAUCCCUCGCAUGCCCUGAAUGCCAGGCGUGACAGCAAUGUGAAUUUUCUUCUGAUCUUUCAACCUCUCCCUCAACCAAGAACUUGAAGUAUCAGGAUAUCUCAGUUUUAUAUCCUCCUGCAAAAUGACACUGCUGGCAAGGAUCCCUAGAUGAAAAAGACCCUUUUUGUGGAUGAAAGAGCAGCUCGAAUUCUGCAGUC